rnacentral:misc_RNA from 1 species
GGGCGACGACAGCCGAGUGAAACGCGUUUAGCCGUGUUGAAAAAAAUCAUUCGUCCGGAAUAUGUUCGACGAUGUUCGUCAUAUUUUUAAAGAUCGAGAGAACGGUGUUACGCGAUGGCACGCGAGGACAUCGGAGCGCUUAUAGGCAGAGAUUGUGGAAAAGGUUUCGCUUGGAUUUGGAUUAGGUUCGGAGAAAACGUUUGGACGAACGUCUCUUGGGUCAGAUUUUAGGAAAGCAUCGUUGAAAUUCGACAGCUUCGAACGUACGCAGCGGCUGAUAGAAAUUCUACGCGAUAAACAAUUUUCUACUUCCACGGGUCAAGCUCGCGUUAGAUCAUAGAAUAGAUUCGGGUCGAGUUUGGAUAAGGUUUCGGGAAACUUUUACAUCGGCUUUAAGUUAAAUUCUGGAAAGAACGAUCCUGUUGGAAUUUUAGAUCUUCGAGUAUAAGCUGUCUUCCAUAAAUUAUAUUUCAAUCUCGCCAAAAGGUGUAUAUAAUAAAACUCUUGUUUAAGACCAACAGGUAAUCGUUCCUAAACGAUCUAGAUAUUAAAAAAAAAAAAAAAAAAAAAAAAAAA